rnacentral:rRNA from 1 species
CAGCCGCCGCGGUAAUACGGAGAGGGCUAGCGUUAUUCGGAAUUAUUGGGCGUAAAGGGCGCGUAGGCUGAUUAAUAAGUUAAAAGUGAAAUCCCGAGGCUUAACCUUGGAAUUGCUUUUAAAACUAUUAAUCUAGAGAUUGAAAGAGGAUAGAGGAAUUCCUGAUGUAGAGGUAAAAUUCGUAAAUAUUAGGAGGAACACCAGUGGCGAAGGCGUCUAUCUGGUUCAAAUCUGACGCUGAGGCGCGAAGGCGUGGGGAGCAAACAGG